rnacentral:rRNA from 1 species
UACGGAGGGGGCUAGCGUUGUUCGGAAUUACUGGGCGUAAAGCGCACGUAGGCGGCUUUGUAAGUUAGAGGUGAAAGCCCGGGGCUCAACUCCGGAAUUGCCUUUAAGACUGCAUCGCUAGAAUUGUGGAGAGGUAAGUGGAAUUCCGAGUGUAGAGGUGAAAUUCGUAGAUAUUCGGAAGAACACCAGUGGCGAAGGCGACUUACUAGACGACAUAAUUGACGCUGAGGUGACGAAAGCGUGGGGAGCAAACAGG